GUUGGUAUGGUGGACUCUCGUGGAAGAAACUUGGCUCAGGGAUUUGGAUGCACAAGUAGUAUCUCCACUCAGUACUAAGUUUUGACUAGCAAAAGGUUCUAAAGAAGCACUACAUGUUGGAGGAUCCAUAACAAUAUAACUUGUAUGCAAAUAUACCCAAACAUAACCAGUACGUUAUCUUCCUUGUUUUAACGCCCAAGAUGCGAUCCUAUCCUUAUUUAGGCACAAGGGCCUUGACAGGGAUAGAAGCGCAUCUCGUCGUUUCUCAAGAAUGGAUAUCGUUACAAGUACAUUACAAAAUAGAUGAGUAUAUGGAAUUGGAUUACACUCGCCACAAGCUACAACAUGAACAACACAUUACAAUAAUAUAUUCAAUCACCAUGUAGAAGAGUAGGGUCCGACUACGAACGAAAACAAACGAUAAAAGAACGACGUCCAUCCUUGUUAUCCCAGGUUGUUGGUCUGGAACCCAUCCUAGAUUGAUGAAGAAGAAUAAGAAGAAGAAAAUCCAAAUAGCACAAUCAUCGCGCUCAUGUCAAAGUAUUACUUUACCUAUACCUGUAACUGUUGUUGUAGUAAUCUGUGAGCCACGGUGACUCAGCAAUCUCAUUUCCAAAAGUAUCGCGACUAGCAAAGCAUAAUGGGUGAGGCAUGGUUAACUGGUGGGGCUGCAGCAAGCGACUAAGCAUUUAUUUGAGGAGGCUAACUUACGAGUACAAGAAAGAAGGGGGGAUGAUCUACGCAUAAAUGGACGUGACUACUGAUAAUCAAAUGAAUGAUCGUGAACACCUAGUUAUGUCAGACAUAACCCCACAAUUUCCUCUUCCGGAUACAGAACUCACGAGAAGAGAGAGUAACGGUUACGCACACAGUUAGGAAGUUUUAAUUAUGUUUACUUCAAGUUAUCUACGACCGGAUGUUAAAAAAAGAUUUCAAGUUUGCCACAUAACCGUGGGCACAGCUUUUUGAAAUAUUUAACCUUGCAGGGCUUCUCCAACUAAUCCACCACAAACUACUACACGCUACGCCGGAAUGACCUCAACGACGAAAAACCCGUGAUCUCCUCGGGUUCCUAUUGGAAAACCUCAACCUCCAGAUAGCCCAAAGUAUCCUCGCAAUCCCGCACAGAAGACCAUCGAUAAGAGUAAAACAAGUCCAGCAAGGCCAUCCAACGUGUCGACGAUCCCGAUAGGAGCCGCGUAUCUCGUCCUCAGGACACGACAAAUAAGCUAAGCGUACGGUGGCGUGAUAGACAUCUCACGAGUUGCCUUAGGUUGGCCCCGCACGGUGCUCUAUUUUAGACCAGCACCAUCAGCACUGGCCCUCCCUGUAUUAUGUUGAAUUACUCCUCGAGUAGUGCUUACUCCCUAUACGUAAUUAAUUAUCAGUAUUAUUAUGUUGGGCAAAUAUAGUACCAAUUUGGCCUUUCCAAUUUUAUCCCAAAACAAAAGUCAAGGUGGUCCCCAUAACAACCCCAAGCAUGUUAGGAGCGCUCAUGUUAUAGACGAAACUAAGACGACAAAGAUGGAACAAAACACAAGGCUAGAAGGCAUGGCCUUCCACCUUUUAACAAGUAUAUAGGUGCAUUAAAUUAAAUAGCAAAAAUAGGGUGAUAUAACAAGGAACCCAUGUUUUCACAUGGAAGCAACUUCACCUACAACUAGCAAUGCUAUAAGAUGGUUGAGCAAGCGAUAACAUAGCCUAAUAGUGGUUUGUUGGGUUGUGGAAAGGUUAGAGACUUUUCAUGACAAUGUUGGGAGGCUGACAAUUAAGCGGUAGGCACCGAGACAUAGCAAAAGAAACGAGACAACUAGCAUGGCAAUGAUUGUAAUGGUAUCUAGGAAAAUGGUCAUCUUGCGUUUGAUCCCGCUUGAAAGAAGAACAAAUCCACGAAGCUUGGCAUUUAAUUAUGCAUGACACGACAAAGCACAACAAUUUAUAACUACACAUUAAAUGAAGCUCAACAUGCAACUCGUUGCAUUUUGGCGAAACUCCAUAUUUGAAUUACUUAGUGCCUUCCUGUUUAGGUACUCGACAAUAUUAAAUGUUGUUAAACAUGGCAAAAUGUGAAGCAUAGAUAAUCUACACUAGCUUGGCAUUUUAAAUGAGGUCGGAAAUAACUUAUAGCAUUUCUGAAAUGACCCCACAUGUUAAUUUCGAAAUCUGUCCAGAUAUGAUCUAAACACAUUUUAUCUUUCUUGAACAGCAAAAUAAAGUGGAGCAUGUGAUUCUACAUGUCAUUCUAGUCGAUUUACUUAUAUAGAUCAUUGCGAACGGAGCUACGGUUUAAAAGAUAUGAACAACACAAGAUUACGUGCCAUGUAUGCAAAAUCCAUACAAAUGACAGCCACAACAUGGUAAAUCAUGGAUGCAGCAAGCUACUAUGCAACUACAUGAAAAUCUAGCAAGUUUGAAUAAGACCGGAAUAACGAACAACAAUUCCGGAAAGUCCUCGUAUAUAAUUUUGAAUUUGCUACAGAUCUACAUAAAACACCAUUUUAGUAUUGUUAAACAGGAAAAUAAAUGCUACCAUGUUAUUCUACACAUCUUUUUAGCCAAGUUACAUAUGUGAAACAUUUUAAUCGGAGCUACAGUUAGCUAAUUACGAGACAAACCGUUUUAACAUGGCAUAAUGCAAAUUACAUGAAUACAGCAAGGUAAAUAUUUUAAACACAUGUGAAAGUUGGAUAUUGUGAAUCUACAAAAAAAUCUAAGCAUUUUAUAUGUUGAAAUAAUUUUAAUCAGGUGCACGGUUGAAGAGUUAUAAACAUUUCAAAAUCAAGCGUUAAUCUGUAAUUAAUACAUUCUGGAUAAUUAGAGAAAAUCGGGGACGCCGAAAAAACCCACUACGGGCCGAAAUCUGGCUGAACUGGGCCAAGGGCGUCGGAUAACUAAACGGUGCACGGGCGAUACAUAGCGGGUUGGCACUCAGCAUGGGCCAUCAGGCCGGCUCAAUGCAGUGGCAUGCCGGAUUCGGGCCAUGCGGCUAUGUGAGGCCGUUCUUGGGCCUUGGCGAGCCCGACGGGAGCUGAGCCGAGGAGGAGCUCCGUUGGGCCUGGUGCAGGGAGACCGGCCCACGUCGUGGUCGAUCUAGAGGGGCCUAGGCGCUCGGUCAACGCAGCAUGCAGCGCUCGUUUCGACCGGCACAUGGCAACACGACUCAAGCGGCGCCGGCGUGCAACGUGUUGUGGCAAGGGAGGCUGGGGGACGACCGGAAUGGAUAGAUCUGGGCAUUGGGAAGCCGGAUCUGGGGGCGGAUGAAGGUCUCGGCGACUCUAGCAAUGGGGUUUCACACGGCGUCCACGACGCCAUGGAAGGUCCUCGACAAAGAAAGGAGAGAGAUCGGGUGAGAGAGGGAAGAGAGAGAGCGGGAGGAGGGAGAGGCAAAGGGGCACGACGAUGUUCACCUACUCGGGGCAGUCACCGGCGCUGCGCCAACGAGCUGGCGGCGCGAUGAUCCGGUGGUGACGAGGGGCGCACUGGGGCAGCGGACCAACGAGCAUCGGGGCACGGGAGCUGUGGGGCUGCUGUCUCGGGGAGCGGCGGUGGGAUCCAGGGCUAGGUCGGGCCUUAGGCUCCUUGUAACGGGAGUAUCAUAUACCAGUAUCAUGCAUAUGAUACUAGUGUAUGAUACUAUUCCCUCUGUUCCUAAAUAUAAGUUUUUUAAGAGAUUUUACUAGGGGUCUACAUAUGGAGCCAAAUCAAUGUACCUAUACUAUAAAGUAUGUCUAUAUACAUUACUAUGUAGUUUAUUAAUGAAACCCUACAAGGACUUAUAUUUAGGAACGGAGGGGUACAUCCGUAAUGCAUAGUAUCAUGUACUAGUAUUAUAGAACAGUUC
rnacentral:lncRNA from 1 species